GGAUUUAGAGAGAGAAAAACCCAAAAUUUCCUCCCCUUCCUUCCUCGCACGACCACAGCGCCGAACCCUCCAUUCCUUUCAUUCUUCGGCUACGGGCCACCAAAAUGCAAACGAGCACUCAAAAUUCAUCUACGCAUCGCAAGGAACAUGAUUCUAGUCUUAGUUUGUGAGUUUUGGCAACUGAUUGAGAGGGACCGAAGCUUGAAGGUCUCGACAUAGUCAAAGAUCCAUUUUCAGGUGAUAUACGUCGUUCCCGGCAAUCCCAUGCAUGGAGGAAUCGACUCCCUUUCACCUCCUAAACAUUUUCCUUCCUUCAAUUCCGGCGACAAACCCUGGAUGGCAAAACCACCAUGAAUGGCGUUGGUGAGUGGUUUUCGAGGCUUAUUCCAGCUAAAUAACUCACCCACUCCAUAAACUGACAUCAGAAAUGGGCUCCUCAAUGAAUUGCGAGUCGGAUGUUGCGAUCGAUGUAAAAUUCUAACCGAGCUCGAUUUUUCGGCCACUACGCAUGGCGGUCGUCAACAACGGUUCGGUGAUCGGCCGGUGAGGCUCCUAUGAGACCUUGAGAGGCAAAAUUUCCUCCUCCUCGUAACGAUCAUGAUUCUGUAAUCCAAUUUUAAUUUGACCCAAUAUAUGCUUGACCAGCUUUCUGAUCUUCAAAACAAGGUAUAUGCAAGUGGAAUUAAUCAUAUCAUAAUUCACUUUUAUUAUGUUUCUUCCGACAGGAACAAUUGUUGCUGGAAGCUAACAGAGCUUUGAUAAUAAAGAUUGAGAAUGAAUAUGGGAAUAUAAUGUCUGCAUAUGGAGCUGGUGGAAAAGCAUACAUUAAUUGCUGUGCAAAUAUGGCUAAUUCGCUUGACAUUGGAGUUUCAUGGAUAAUGUGCCAGCAAGAUGAUGCUCACCAAUCAAUGGGUUGGGGUGGUAAAGAUCCACACAGGAUUGCUGAGGAUCUUGCUUUUGCUGUUGCUAGCUUUUUCCAAACUGGAGGCACAUUACAAAAUUACUACAUGGAAAUUUGGAUCAACCAAAAUAUGGCAAUUUGAAGCAGCUCCAUGAUAUUUUGCACUCUAAGGAAUAUGCUCUUACACAUGGGAACAUUUCCACAAUAAAUUAUGACAAUUCAGUAAGUGCAACUAUUUAUGCAAUUGAGAAAGAAUCACGUUGGUUUUUGAGCAAUGCAAGUAGCACACCAGAUGCUACCAUUGUGUUUUUAAUACUUAGAAUACGAGAUUCAACUAACAUAUUUGUUGAAUUAAUUUGCAAGAUAUUAUAAAUAUAAUAUAUUGAAGGUGUAUUAUGGUAUAUGGAGUUGAAUUGAAAUUAUUGAUUAUUAGA